rnacentral:misc_RNA from 1 species
AUAUAAAAUUAAAUAUAAUUCAUAUUUAACCGAACCGAAAUAACCUAGUAAGGACUGCUGGACAUGCAAUUUACCAAAAAAAGAAAGAAAAAAAAACCACAUCUUUUACUGCUGGACAGAGGACUACACACCCUGGCCAUUUGGCGGGGACCUGGUACACGCCCUAUUCUGUGUAUUCUGUGUCCAAGUGCUGCCCCUGCUGGAACAUACCAAAAUGCCCUGCAUCAUGCUUGCCCACUUGUAAAAAACUCGUCCUUGAGUUGCAACGAACCAACAUAGCUCACGUAUCAUUCUCCCCCACUUGAAAUAAACCCUUCCUGGAAUUUUGAAGUGAAAGAGAAUGAAAAUCUUCAUUGGGAAUGUGCACCAUAUAGCCCUCUUGGAUGAAGUAGCCAAUGGAAAAUUAUGCAAGACUUUGAUUGCAUUCAUCUUUGUUUCCACAAGAACAUCUGAACAAAUAAAAUCAAUGGAAACAAUAAAAAUUAACGAGUUAGAAAAAUCUUCAAUCUCUAUCUCUUUGAUUUGAUUUUCUUCAAUCUCCAAUAUUAUCUCCAUGGAUUUUUUUUUUCUCAACUACCAUUGAAAUUUCCAUGGCAUGAUAUUUGUUGUUCCCUUUGACACGUUCUUCCAUUCUUCGUCUUCAACCAUAGCUUCUAGUUCCUAUCAUUCGACAUUAGUCUCCUCAACUUCAAGUUGAGUUUUGGAUUCAAGUUGUUCUUGCCUUUCUACCCUUUCCACUAAUGGAUGUUUGGGUUGGGUGCCCUUGCACUCGGCUAUAAAUCAAGAUAGUGCUUCGAGUUAUGGUUGGAAAAGCCCUCUCAUCAUAUCCAUAUGUGCCUCUUUUCCGAUAGUCACUAUUCCAUUGAUGCCUAUCGUACUUGAUUGGUUCCAAGUCAUCUUCCUUUGAAUCUCCUUCGUAAAUUCAAGAAUUAGUUGAUAUGCUUCUCUUUUAUAUCUUUCGUUGUGUGGAUGUCUAUAUAACCUGUUUGGUUCAUAAUUAUUUUCCUCUUCCGUGUCUUCCUUGUAGACAUAUAGGCUAUGUGCGAAAAAAGUUUUGUUGAUUUGGUUACCACUAGCUAACUUUACUGUUGGCCUUCUGUCAUCGUACUUAUCCCUGUUUGUAUUGAUUCCCAAAGCAUCAAGAUGAUCUACAUUUCUUCAAGGUGUCCCUCCAUAAACCUGAAUUUGAGAUCCAUCCGUUGCUCCAAAACGCUGCUCCCAUCAUUGCAAUAUUUCGUCCCUAUGGUCAAGGGCAUUAGUUCCCCAAUCAUCGUCGCAAGAACCACUUUAAUUGCCACCUUCAUCAAGGUAAGCCAUCUUGAUUGGGGGCGAUUUCUUCGCUUUGAUACCACUUGACGUAGCGUGAAGCUCACAAAGAAACACAGGCUAUACACCGAGUGAAAAUUGAGAGAAUUCUCAACAGAAUUUUUAUUGCUGAAAAUCUGUACUCAAAUACGUAAAAAUCUGGGAUAUUUAUAGAGUUCUUAAACUCUGAAACACAAUAGGAAAAGAUCUCUACUAAAUAGGAAGUUAAAAUAAACCAAAGUACUCGAAGAAACCUAGAUAAAAUAGGAGUAAAAGUAAUCCUAGAUAGAAUAGGAAAAUGUAAUUAAAUCCUAAAUAAAGUUGGAAGCUUCCUAAAUUAAUUCUAAUUGUGAUUUUGCUGCUGUUGCUUAAUAAACAAGAAGUAUCAAGUGAAUUAGGACAGCUGGACAUGCGAUUUACCAAAAAAAAAAGGCUGACUUUCACUACUGGACAGAACCGCACGCCACAGGCAUGUGGCAGAGUGCUUUUACACGCCCAGGGCGUGUGCUACACUGCCAAAACUCCCCAAACUUGCUGCCACCACGUUUUUGUCCCAAAAGCCCAAAAUAGGACCACGUCAAAAAUACAAUAAGAAAGCCCAGUAGAUUCAAAAAUAAUGAUCAACAUAGCCUAAUGAAAUAUUUGCAGAAGACAUAGCCAGACAUAGAUAUGACAAUGAUGAGACAUUCUUCAAGAAUUAAAGACAAAGGAAUUAAACAGGAUAUAGAAAAAAAACUGAACAUAGCAUUCACUUGCCUCAGUAUUGUGUCAGAUAACUGC